CCUACGGGAGGCAGCAGUGGGGAAUAUUGGACAAUGGGCGGAACUCUGAUCCAGCGACGCCGCGUGAGUGAAGAAGUAUUUCGGUAUGUAAAGCUCUAUCAGCAGGGAAGAAAAUGACGGUACCUGACUAAGACGCCCCGGCUAACUACGUUCCAGCAGCCGCGGGACUACGUAAGGGGCAAGCGUUAUCCGGAUUUACUGGGUGUAAAGGGGGCGUAGACGGUGCAGCAAGUCUGAUGUGAAAGGUCGGGGCCCAAACCCGGGACUGCAUUGUAAACUGUUUAACUGGAGUACAGGAGGGGUAAGCGGAAUUCCUGGUGUAGCGGUGAAAUGCUUAGAUAUUAGGAGGAACACCAGUGGCGAAGGCGGCUUACUUGACUGUAACUGACGUUGAGGCUCGAAAGCGUGGGGAGCAAACAGGAUUAGAUACCCUAGUAGUC
rnacentral:rRNA from 1 species